UAGUCCACGCCGUAAACGAUGAAUGUUAGAUGUCGGGAUAUUAAUAUUUCGGUGUCGCAGCUAACGCAUUAAACAUUCCGCCUGGGGAGUACGGUCGCAAGAUUAAAACUCAAAGGAAUUGACGGGACCCGCACAAGCGGUGGAGUAUGUGGUUUAAUUCGAAGCAACGCGCAGAACCUUACCAACCUUUGACAUGUUACGUAUGGGAUUUAGAGAUAGAUUCCUUCAGCUUGGCUGGCGUAAACACAGGUGCUGCAUGGCUGUCGUCAGCUCGUGUCGUGAGAUGUUGGGUUAAGUCCCGCAACGAGCGCAACCCUCGCCUUUAGUUGCCAGCAUUUAGUUGGGCACUCUAGAGGAACCGCCGGUGAUAAGCCGGAGGAAGGUGGGGAUGACGUCAAGUCCUCAUGGCCCUUACGUGGGUGGGGCUACACACGUGCUACAAUGGCGCUAACAUGGGGUUAAUCCCCAAAAGGCGUCUCAGUUCGGGAUUGUCUUCUGCAACUCGAAGGGC
rnacentral:rRNA from 1 species